GACGAACGCUGGCGGCGUGCUUAACACAUGCAAGUCGAACGGUGAAGCCCUUCGGGGUGGAUCAGUGGCGAACGGGUGAGUAACACGUGAGCAAUCUGCCCUUGACUCUGGGAUAACUUCGGGAAACCGGAGCUAAUACCGGAUAUGACACGCGGCCGCAUGGUCUGUGUGUGGAAAGAUUUAUUGGUCAGGGAUGAGCUCGCGGCCUAUCAGCUUGUUGGGGGGUAAUGGCCUACCAAGGCGACGACGGGUAGCCGGCCUGAGAGGGCGACCGGCCACACUGGGACUGAGACACGGCCCAGACUCCUACGGGAGGCAGCAGUGGGGAAUAUUGCGCAAUGGGCGAAAGCCUGACGCAGCGACGCCGCGUGAGGGAUGAAGGCC
rnacentral:rRNA from 1 species